rnacentral:lncRNA from 1 species
GCACAGUGUAAAUAUAUUGGCUUUAUUUGUGUCCAUUCGGACGCCUCACAGACAACAUCCAGGUAAAAAGACCAUUAAAUAAAACGCCUUCAGCGAUUGCAAUGCAAAAAUAAAUAUCAAUCCUCGGCUGCAGCGGCAGCCGCGCAGCGCCCCAAGUCCCCUCGGUCAGCUCAACAAUUAUAAAAGUGUUCAGUGAGAGUGUCGGCGUGAGUGUGAACCGGUAUGCGCUGGGGGUGGGGUAUGCACAGUGGAGCGGUGUGCAGAAUCGGAGUUGCGAGCCAAAGGCCUUUGCAGCGGCGACCCCGGGCGAGCCGACUCAGCGCGGGCCGCCUCCCGCGCACGCUCACCGCAGAGUUCGUACUGGGAAAGAGUUAAAAAAUAAACAUUUACAAGGGCAAAGAAAGCGGCUUCCCCUCCCUGGCGUCCCCGGACGCGCUCCGGGGUCCCGGCUGAUCCGCAGCCGGGCUACAGUCCCAGAGAGUGAGGGGAGCUGAUCCCGGGUAGUCGUGGCCGCCUGGGGCGCGGGUCCCCUCCGGAUGCUUCCGCUGUUGCUCGGCGCUUGGCGGCGGAGCAAGUCCCCAAGUAGGCUACCGCCUCACAGCGCCGAGUCGGAGUCGCUGGAGUCCAGGCUGUUCCUCAGUUUGCAGCUACCGAGCGGCUCCCUCUGCAGCGACAGGCUCUGCGUGCUGCGGCGCAGGCAUUCCAAGCUCUGCAGGAACGACUUCUUGGCCUUUUCCUCCUCCAUCGGGGACACCCCCUCCUCCUCCACCUCCUGGAUCUCAUCGAAGGUCACCGGCUGCGUCUUGAAGCGGGACUGGCGCGGUCGCCGCAGCCGGCCCUUGCCCUUGGGCAGCUUGGCGGGCCGCACCGGCUGCGGGAACUCAUCGGCCAGGCACACGAAGUGUGGCAUCACCGCUUGGUAGCUAGAAGAGAUGCCCAUGAGCUCGCCGGGCUUGGCGGCCGC